rnacentral:tRNA from 1 species
UCCCUUGUAGUUCAGUUGGUAAAGAAUCUGCCUGCAGUGCAGGAGACCUAGGUUCAAUCCCUGGGUUGGGAA